AUGAUGGCAUCCCAUGAACACCACCACCACCUCCUCGGCUUCUCCUCCUCGUCGUCGCCGGUGACUCCCAGCCCCGCCGCCAUGGCCAUGGCCUUCGACCACCACGGCCUCCUCGCCCUCCACGACGACAUGCCACCACGACCAGGAGGUGCCCAUGAUAGGUCAUGGCCACCGCAAGUGUCGACGCUCUCUCUCUAUGGCCCGGCCGGUGGUGGACCGUCUUAUUCGCUGGCCGGCGGCGAGCAUGAGCUGCAACCUUUCACGAUGGCGCCACCGUGGAUGAUGUCCAUGCAGCAGCAGCAGCAGCCCUUCCGGUUAAAUAGCUCCAGGUACCUGGGCCCCGCGAAGGAACUGCUCCGUGAGUUCUGCAGCCUUGAAGGGGAUGCCAUGAACGGCGGCGUGAUGAUGAUGCAAGCUCCGAAGCGGGAUGACGACGUGGAGGCGUCCUCACCGGCUUGUGGUCCAUGGGGCGCCAACCCUUCUGUAAGCUCCAUGGAUUACAUGGCGCUCGAGAGGAGGAAGGCCAGGCUACUGUCCAUGGUUGAAGAGGUGGACAGGUGCUACCGGCGAUACCGUGAGAAAAUGCGGGCGACAGAGUUGUCGUUCGAGGCGGUGGCCGGCACGGGGGCAGCACACGUGUACACGAAGCUGGCGAUGCGUGCCAUGUCACGCCACUUCCGGUGCCUGAGGGAUGCGCUCAUGGGGCAGAUACGAACUUUGAAGAAGUCAGUGGGGGAGAGCAGGGAUGCCAACGGCAUGUUGGUAGCACCGGGUGCAUCAAAAGGGGACACGCCGAGGCUAAGGGUUGUGGACCAAUGCCUGAGGCGACAAAGGGCGUUCCAACAAUAUGGCGGUGCCGCCGCCAUUGAGAGCUGCCCAUGGCGGCCCCAGCGCGGCCUGCCAGAGCACGCCGUCGCCGUCCUCCGCUCGUGGCUCUUUGAGCACUUCCUCCACCCGUAUCCGAAUGACGUAGACAAGCACAUUUUGGCGCGCCAAUCAGGGUUAUCAAGAAGCCAGGUUUCCAACUGGUUCAUCAAUGCAAGGGUUAGGCUAUGGAAGCCCAUGAUAGAGAAGAUGUAUGCAGAAGAAACCAUACAACAUGACGACCACGGUGCUAGCAGUGGCAGAGGUGAACCUGCUCCCGCGGAUCAACACAAUAACAACUUGGCAGCAUGGACAACGGUUACGACAACAACAGAUGAAAGUUGCCAUCGCUUUAGCAGCAAAAACAACCCUGGCGACGGCUUCAUCCCAUCCUCCUUUGUUGCCGACAGCAGACAAUUUCUCCAUGGCUACUCAAGUCUGCACGGUGAUGGCGGCAGUGGUGUGGUGUCGCUUACCUUGGGACUCCAGCAACAACAGGCGUUUGCAUCACCGGCGAUGAUCACGCAACAACAAUCGCCGCUCAUGAUUGGAGCUGAGGAGGAAGACAUGGUGCUACCGUAUAAGAACCUCAUGGGGUCUGAGCUGCUGCAUGAUUUCGUAGGCUAG
rnacentral:rRNA from 1 species